GAUGAACGCUGGCGGCGUGCCUAAUACAUGCAAGUCGAGCGAACAGACGAGGAGCUUGCUCCUCUGACGUUAGCGGCGGACGGGUGAGUAACACGUGGAUAACCUACCUAUAAGACUGGGAUAACUUCGGGAAACCGGAGCUAAUACCGGAUAAUAUAUUUAACCGCAUGGUUCAAUAGUGAAAGACGGUUUUGCUGUCACUUAUAGAUGUAUCCGCGCCGCAUUAGCUAGUUGGUAAGGUAACGGCUUACCAAGGCGACGAUGCGUAGCCGACCUGAGAGGGUGAUCGGCCACACUGGAACUGAGACACGGUCCAGACUCCUACGGGAGGCAGCAGUAGGGAAUCUUCCGCAAUGGGCGAAAGCCUGACGGAGCAACGCCGCGUGAGUGAUGAAGGUCUUCGGAUCGUAAAACUCUGUUAUUAGGGAAGAGCAAAUGUGUAAGUAACUAUGCACGUCUUGACGGUACCUAAUCAGAAAGCCACGGCUAACUACGUG
rnacentral:rRNA from 1 species